rnacentral:rRNA from 1 species
CAGCAGCCGCGGUAAUACGUAGGGUGCGAGCUUUAAUCGGAUUUACUGGGCGUAAAGCGUGCGCAGGCGGCCCGUUAAGACAGGUGUGAAAUCCCUGGGCUCAACCUAGGAAUUGCGCUUGUGACUGGCGGGCUCGAGUACGGUAGAGGGGGGUGGAAUUCCUGGUGUAGCAGUGAAAUGCGUAGAGAUCAGGAGGAACACCGAUGGCGAAGGCAGCCCCCUGGGCCUGUACUGACGCUCAUGCACGAAAGCGUGGGGAGCAAACAGGAUUAGAUACCCUGGUAGUCCACGCCCUAAACGAUGGGUACUAGCCGUUUGGUGCGCGAUAGCGCUGAGUGGCGAAGCUAACGCGUGAAGUACCCCGCCUGGGGAGUACGGCCGCAAGGUUGAAACUUAAAGGAAUUGGCGGG